rnacentral:lncRNA from 1 species
CAUUCCAGGCGGCGGAGGCGGAGGCGGAGGUGAAGGAGGAGGUGGUAUGGGGCCAUCCGGCGGCGGGGGCGGUGGAGGAGGAGGCGAGGGAGGAGGGGGGGACGGCGGCACGGGGCUCGGCGGAGGCGCGUCGGGUGGAGGUGGAGGAGGAGGCGACGGCGGCACAGGGCUCGGCGGAGGCGCGUCCGGAGGAGGCGGAGGAGGAGGCGAUGGCGGCACAGGGCUCGGCGGAAGCGCGUCCGGUGGAGGCGGAGGAGGAGGCGACGGCGGCUCAGGGCUCGGCGGAGGCGCGUCGGGUGGAGGUGGAGGAGGCGGCGACGGCGGCACAGGGCUCGGCGGAGGCGCGUCGGGUGGAGGUGGAGGAGGAGGCGACGGCGGCACAGGGCUCGGCGGAGGCGCGUCCGGAGGAGGUGGAGGAGGAGGCGACGGCGGCUCAGGGCUCGGCGGAGGCGCGUCCGGCGGAGGCGGAGGAGGAGGCGACGGCGGCACAGGGCUCGGCGGAGGCGCGUCCGGAGGAGGCGGAGGAGGAGGCGAUGGCGGCACAGGGCUCGGCGGAAGCGCGUCCGGUGGAGGCGGAGGAGGAGGCGACGGCGGCUCAGGGCUCGGCGGAGGCGCGUCGGGUGGAGGUGGAGGAGGCGGCGACGGCGGCACAGGGCUCGGCGGAGGCGCGUCGGGUGGAGGUGGAGGAGGAGGCGACGGCGGCACAGGGCUCGGCGGAAGCGCGUCCGGUGGAGGCGGAGGAGGAGGCGACGGCGGCUCAGGGCUCGGCGGAGGCGCGUCGGGUGGAGGUGGAGGAGGCGGCGACGGCGGCACAGGGCUCGGCGGAGGCGCGUCGGGUGGAGGUGGAGGAGGAGGCGACGGCGGCACAGGGCUCGGCGGAGGCGCGUCCGGCGGAGGCGGAGGAGGCGGUGAAGGCGGCAUAGGGCUCGGUGGAGGCGCGCCGGGUGGAGGUGGAGGAGGAGGCGACGGCGGCUCGGGGCUUGGCGGAGGCGCGUCGGGUGGAGGUGGAGGAGGAGGCGAAGGCGGCACGGGGCUCGGCGGAGGCGCGUCGGGUGGAGGCGGAGGAGGAGGCGACGGCGGCACGGGGCUCGGCGGAGACGCGUCUGGUGGAGGCGGAGGAGGCGAUGGCGGCUCGGGGCUUGGCGGAGGUGCGUCCGGCGGAGGCGGAGGAGGAGGCGACGGCGGCUCGGGGCUUGGUGGAGGCGCGUCGGGCGGAGGCGGAGGAGGAGGCGACGGCGGCACAGGGCUCGGCGGAGGCGCGUCCGGAGGAGGCGGAGGAGGAGGCGACGGCGGCAUAGGGCUCGGUGGAGGCGCGUCGGGUGGAGGUGGAGGAGGAGGCGACGGCGGCUCGGGGCUCGGCGGAGGCGCGUCGGGCGGAGGCGGGGGAGGAGGCGAAGGCGGCUCAGGGCUUGGCGGAGGUGCGUCGGGCGGAGGCGGAGGAGGAGGCGAUGGCGGCUCAGGGCUCGGCGGAGGUGCGUCCGGAGGAGGCGGAGGAGGAGGCGACGGCGGCACAGGGCUCGGCGGAGGCGCGUCGGGUGGAGGUGGAGGAGGAGGCGAAGGCGGCUCGGGGCUCGGCGGAGGCGCGUCGGGUGGAGGCGGGGGAGGAGGCGAAGGCGGCUCGGGGCUUGGCGGAGGUGCGUCGGGCGGAGGCGGAGGAGGAGGUGAAGGCGGCUCGGGGCUCGGCGGAGGCGCGUCCGGCGGAGGUGGAGGAGGAGGCGAAGGCGGCUCGGGGCUUGGCGGAGGUGCGUCCGGCGGAGGCGGAGGAGGAGGCGAUGGCGGCUCGGGGCUCGGCGGAGGCGCGUCGGGUGGAGGUGGAGGAGGAGGCGACGGCGGCACAGGGCUUGGCGGAGGCGCGUCCGGCGGAGGUGGAGGGGGAGGCGAAGGCGGCUCGGGGCUUGGCGGAGGUGCGUCCGGCGGAGGCGGAGGAGGAGGCGAUGGCGGCACAGGGCUCGGCGGAGGCGCGUCAGGUGGAGGCGGAGGAGGAGGCGACGGCGGCUCGGGGCUUGGCGGAGGCGCGUCGGGUGGAGGCGGAGGGGGCGAUGGCGGCUCGGGGCUUGGAGGUUCAGGUGAUGGAGGGUCAGAGAUAGCACAUGACUUCUGUGCCUGCCCAGACAGGCACGAUAAACGGUCUGACGUUGCAAGUGUGUCUGUGCUUCCCUGAACACU